GGAUGUUCCUAACUCCUGUCUCAUCCAUCACCUCAUUGAAGCUGGUUGGUCAGCCAGAGAGAGAGAGAUGGAGAGGGAGAUCUGGAGCCUUCAGUAAAUCCUGCAGCCGGUCCUCAGGAAAGUGCUGACUCCAUAGACUUCCCAAUUGCUGGGUGUCUCGUCCAACACCUCAUUGAAGUUGAUUGGUCAGCCAGAGAGACAAAAGGCAGAGAGAUCUGGAGCCUUCAAUAAAUCCUGCAGUGAGGUACUCAGGAAAGUCCUGACUCAAUAGCCUUCCCAGCUGCGGGGUGGAUUAUCCAUCACCACAUUG